AAGACUAUACUAUCAGGGAUCAUUUCUAUAGUAUGUUACUAUAUGCAAGUACCUGGGCUCAAGGACCUGGGUUCAAACCUCAUUCCCCACCUCCAAGGGAA
rnacentral:snoRNA from 1 species